rnacentral:lncRNA from 1 species
CCUCGCUCUUGCUCUGAAGGGGUGGAGCUCGCUCUGCUUCUGUCGUCUGCCGGGCGGGGGUGGCCGGCACCUCUGGCCUCGCGGGUUCCCCCCUUCCCUCCCGAGGUUUCUUCCUCUGUGCUCGUCCUUGCGAUUUGGCGAGGAGCUCCUCCGACGGGGCGAAGGUCGUCCCCGACAUCUUCGUCGUCGGUAAAGGUCGAGACAGAAUUUUCCGGUCUGUAUGUAACCUGGGCUGCCGAGCUGACUCGAGCCCUCUUGUUUCUUCGUUCUCAAUCUGGGUUUGCCUCCUCGCGGCCAUCUGCCGUUUUCCCAUGAUGUUCUUCUUCUGGAAUCCAUUUGCCUUUUGAGAGAACCGGGAUGCUGCCGCGUGCUGUGCUUCUCGGUUCCGUUGCGGGCAGAAAUCCAUAGUCUCCCAGGUGCUCAUCUUCUGCGAUCCAAAACAAUCCCUGUUUCAGAUCUCAUGCACCAGGAGCACAUUGGGAUCUCUUCACCAAGCGGUCGUACUCGUGUUCAUAUUUAUUUGAUAGAUUUGCUGUUUUUGUUUGCGGCCCGUCCCUGAUUCCCAUGUUGAGCAUAUUUUCUCCGAUAAUCCUGGAGACUUUAUUUUUUUAAUUUUUUUUUUUACAGCGAAAGCAGAUGACACCCGAAGUGUAUCUGCUUAGCUCAUCGUUUUUUUUCUCUUUGUAGUGGUUUCCCUACUGUUAAUAAUGUAGCUGGGUUCCGAACCAUGUUGGAGCUGACCUCAUCUGUCGGCUCCUCUGCGUUGACCAGGGUCGAGUUAAGCUGGUGUGUAACACUGUUGGCUUCAAGAAGCUAUUGGAUUGAGCAGACGUGUAUGCUCAGAUCUGGUGUAAAGUUCUUGGUGGUUCUCCGAUUCUCUUACAGAGUUGACUUGCCUUUUGAGAGAACCGGGAUGCUGCUCUGCGCUGUGCUACCUCGGUUCCGUUGCGGGCAGAGAUCGAAACUUUCUUGGGUGCUCUCUGUCUGUGACUGUUAGCCCAGGCUGCCCCUGCCGCGGCUCUGAUUCACCCAGAUAAGAACAUAAAAGUCAAACCUUUCCGCACCAGCUUCAUAGUUUGGACGCCAGUAUCGUUGAUCUCAUCGAUUUUUCUGCCAUCGUGCGAUCUGUUUGGAGAGGCCCAUUUCCUCCCAUGAUGCUAGCAAGAACCAGAAUCUGCGGAUUUGAUCUGUUUUUUUUUCAAUUUUUGUUGUUGUUGAGCCAAUGAUCACCAGGAAAUUGUUCUGGAAUCUUCGUUUUCAUGUUAUUCGUUCAUUGUUUAAUACAGAUUCAUCACUUCUUUUCUACGCCAUAACUAUGAUGGGCUUUCGCUUCAUAGUUUGAACCAGCUGCUUCUUCGCCGCCGCCUUUUCCUGCCGCGGCGGCAGCUCCGAAUCGCCAGGCCUCAUCUGCCUGCGCCCGUUGAUUUCCACGGUCAAUCAACGUGCGCCUGUGAACCCAGAAGUCAACGAUGGCUGUGAUCGUGGGGGGGGGGGGGGGAGAGGUGGGAGAAAAAUCAAGCUUUGGAUAACUACAGAUCAGGAUAUUUCACAUGGGUUCCUCGGAAGUCGCUCCGGCUAUCAAGUGGCGCGGAUUCUUUUUCUUUCUAUAUUCUUAUUCCGGGAGACCUACUUUCGUCGCCACCGAGGGACGGGCAACCGUGAGGAUGGAGCCGGAGAUCGACACCCAUAAAAAGUUUGGAACUUGAGAAAAGGGCUCCCCAUUUAAUCUCCGUCCUGAAGGAAGAUCGUCGCUUUCGUCGUCAUCGUCGUCGUUUUGCGAAGGGCGGCG